rnacentral:rRNA from 1 species
UACGGAGGGUGCAAGCGUUGUCCGGAAUCACUGGGCGUAAAGGGCGCGUAGGCGGCUCGGUAAGUAGGGGGUGAAAUCCUGCGGCUUAACCGCAGGGCUGCCUUCUAAACUGUCGAGCUCGAGCACGGUAGAGGCAGAUGGAAUUCCCGGUGUAGCGGUGGAAUGCGUAGAGAUCGGGAAGAACAUCAGUGGCGAAGGCGGUCUGCUGGGCCGUUGCUGACGCUGAGGCGCGACAGCGUGGGGAGCAAUCAGG